UUGAAGAGUUUGAUCAUGGCUCAGAUUGAACGCUGGCGGCAGGCCUAACACAUGCAAGUCGAACGGUAACAGGAAGAAGCUUGCUUCUUUGCUGACGAGUGGCGGACGGGUGAGUAAUGUCUGGGAAACUGCCUGAUGGAGGGGGAUAACUACUGGAAACGGUAGCUAAUACCGCAUAACGUCGCAAGACCAAAGAGGGGGACCUUCGGGCCUCUUGCCAUCGGAUGUGCCCAGAUGGGAUUAGCUUGUUGGUGGGGUAACGGCUCACCAAGGCGACGAUCCCUAGCUGGUCUGAGAGGAUGACCAGCCACACUGGAACUGAGACACGGUCCAGACUCCUACGGGAGGCAGCAGUGGGGAAUAUUGCACAAUGGGCGCAAGCCUGAUGCAGCCAUGCCGCGUGUAUGAAGAAGGCCUUCGGGUUGUAAAGUACUUUCAGCGGGGAGGAAGGGAGUAAAGUUAAUACCUUUGCUCAUUGACGUUACCCGCAGAAGAAGCACCGGCUAACUCCGUGCCAGCAGCCGCGGUAAUACGGAGGGUGCAAGCGUUAAUCGGAAUUACUGGGCGUAAAGCGCACGCAGGCGGUUUGUUAAGUCAGAUGUGAAAUCCCCGGGCUCAACCUGGGAACUGCAUCUGAUACUGGCAAGCUUGAGUCUCGUAGAGGGGGGUAGAAUUCCAGGUGUAGCGGUGAAAUGCGUAGAGAUCUGGAGGAAUACCGGUGGCGAAGGCGGCCCCCUGGACGAAGACUGACGCUCAGGUGCGAAAGCGUGGGGAGCAAACAGGAUUAGAUACCCUGGUAGUCCACGCCGUAAACGAUGUCGACUUGGAGGUUGUGCCCUUGAGGCGUGGCUUCCGGAGCUAACGCGUUAAGUCGACCGCCUGGGGAGUACGGCCGCAAGGUUAAAACUCAAAUGAAUUGACGGGGGCCCGCACAAGCGGUGGAGCAUGUGGUUUAAUUCGAUGCAACGCGAAGAACCUUACCUGGUCUUGACAUCCACGGAAGUUUUCAGAGAUGAGAAUGUGCCUUCGGGAACCGUGAGACAGGUGCUGCAUGGCUGUCGUCAGCUCGUGUUGUGAAAUGUUGGGUUAAGUCCCGCAACGAGCGCAACCCUUAUCCUUUGUUGCCAGCGGUCCGGCCGGGAACUCAAAGGAGACUGCCAGUGAUAAACUGGAGGAAGGUGGGGAUGACGUCAAGUCAUCAUGGCCCUUACGACCAGGGCUACACACGUGCUACAAUGGCGCAUACAAAGAGAAGCGACCUCGCGAGAGCAAGCGGACCUCAUAAAGUGCGUCGUAGUCCGGAUUGGAGUCUGCAACUCGACUCCAUGAAGUCGGAAUCGCUAGUAAUCGUGGAUCAGAAUGCCACGGUGAAUACGUUCCCGGGCCUUGUACACACCGCCCGUCACACCAUGGGAGUGGGUUGCAAAAGAAGUAGGUAGCUUAACCUUCGGGAGGGCGCUUACCACUUUGUGAUUCAUGACUGGGGUGAAGUCGUAACAAGGUAACCGUAGGGGAACCUGCGGUUGGAUCACCUCCUU
rnacentral:rRNA from 1 species